rnacentral:lncRNA from 1 species
CCAAAAGUCGCUUUACAAGUCUAUUCAACAACUGAGAUCUGUAAGUUGUCUGCCUCAUGCUUUUCUACGGAAACAUUUGCCUCCUCUUAUCAGUUUCCUGUUGGCAGCAAUUUAUUCUUAGGACAAUAAUUUAAUGCCGUGUUUGAGGCAGGCAGUUAUUCUCAACUAAGUAAAAUAUCUUAGUAAUUAACAAAAUGGGUUUGCCAUGUUGCACCUUGAGUGUAAGUAUUCAAAUCUUACUGAGUAAGCUCCAUUCAGCAGAUAUAACUUAUAAGUGUGGAACUAUUAGCAGUGUCAAAUCCUGGACGGAACCCGUUCAUUACGACCAGGAACCAGAAAUCCUGGUCGGUGCUGGGAGAAUAAAUCCUGAUAUGUAAAUUAAAAAUUCUGAAUUCAGUCAGUGAACUAUACACCUGGCCCAGAGCCAGUUAGGAAGUGGUCCAAGUAAAAAAUUGUUCUAAUUUGACAAAUCAAACUGGAAUCGGAAGGUUUUAGGCUUAGUAGAACUAAACCAUGAGGUGCAGUUUUAGUACUACUAGGCACGAGGAGGAGGUUAGCCGUGAUGGGCAGGUGGUACCUCAGAAGGACACCUUUCGAUAUUUGGGGUCAAUGCUGUAGAAGGAUGGUGAUAUCGAUGAAGAUUUGAGCCAUUGAAUCAAGGCCGGAUGGAUGAAGUGGUGCCAAGCUUCUGGUGUUCUCUGUGACAAGAGAGUGCCACAAAAGCUAAAAGGCAGGUUCUAUCGGGUGGCGAUUCGACCUGCAGUGUUGUAUGGUGCUGAGUGUUGGCCGACCAAAAGGCGACAUGUUCAACAGUUAGUGUAGCGGAGAUGCGCAUGUUGAGAUGGAUGUGUGGCCACACAAGGAAGGAUGUCCGGAAUGAUAAUAUACGGGAUAGAGUUGGGGUAGCACCGAUUGAAGAGAAGCUUGUCCAACAUCGUCUGCGAUGGUUUGGGCAUAUUCAACGCAUGCCUCCAGAAACUCCAGUGCAUAGCGGAUGACUAAAGCGUUCUGAUAAUGUCAAGAGAGGUCGGGUUAGAUCAAAAUUGACAUGGGAGGAGUCCGAAAAGAGGGACUGCAGUAUCACCAAAGAUCUAGCCAUGGACAGGGGUGCGUGGAAGUUGGCUAUCCACGUGCCGGAUCCAUGAGUUGGUUGCGAGAUCUUAUGCGUUUGAGCUCUAGCCUAGCCCAACUUGUUUGGGACUAAAGGCUUUGUUGUUGUUGACAAAUCAAACUGUCCAGUAGAUACCCAAUGGUGCAGGCUAUGAUUGAUGGUCCACAGUUUGUGAAGCAGGAUUUGGAACAUUCCACAAUAGGACAACUUGAUGUUAGAGCUCAUAAUAGAACUUGUUUUUAGAACACACAUAUGGUAUUGGUACUUAACAUACAGUAUGGUUCUUUAUCUAAUGACAUAUACAUCUAAUACUUGUAUGUGCUCCCGUGAACUUGGAAUUGCAGAUUGGUGGCAGCGGAGUCUUGGUGUCGAAACUGACCUACAUAUUUGACGAGGAGACUCCUAGGUGGCGCAAACUUCUCUCUGAGCUGGGAAUGUGAGACUUGCUGCAAGGUCGGCCAUGCCCUCCGCUAGAAUGGACCGUCUCAGUGAGCAUCUGAACUUAUGCUCGCUGUAGUGUGUACAUCAUACACAGAAGCGACCCGAGUUUGAAAAAAAAACCCGUAUGCAAAGUGAGCUCCCAUGUGGAUUGCCUGAGGAGAUUUCGAUAUCUAGCGCCGGAUAUUGUGCUCAGCUAACGUAUUCCCUGGACAGGCAGUGGUUGGUUUAUCCCUUUUAUGUGCCACCAGUCGAUAGGGUUGGGGGUCCGGGAUGUUGGGUGUAUGUUGUUUGUGUGUGCCGGAUCUUGCACCUUUUGUUGGUGCGGCCCUGAAUAAUUGGGGCUACCUGAUAUGAUGACAAUAAUGAAUCCCAUUGUGGUUUGGUCUCCGUGGUGUGGCUAGCCUAUUCGAUUCCCAUCUGAAAUGCUCGUGUCUUGCUGUUCUCAUCCCAUUCGGAAUUGAUUGUCACAUCCAUGUCUAUCUGUCUCUUUUCUGUAUAUCUCUUCCAUGUCUUCUUUGAGAAAUGGUUCGUAAUGAUCCUGUUGGAGAAUAGUUCUGUAUCUCAUCCACGUCGCAUCGUGAUCUUUGAAAGAAACAAAAAUUAAUUCCACGCAUCUGGGAUUUUUGUCAAAUUACUGCCCACUUUAAUAAACAUGAAAAGAAAAUCAUUGUAGAUCACGGUUCGUUUGAACAGCGUUGGUAUUUCGUAGGAAAGACUUCUCUAAAGAUGCAAGGAAUGUAUUUGUCACGUUUAUGUUAAAUAAGUAGUAGAAGUUUAACAAUGGGUACUAGGGCGAAGGUCAAAACAGAAUGCCUAAUGUCCAAGUAUAAAUUUAUUCCCUCCGUCCCAUAAUGUAAGACGUUUUUGCAAGCUAAACAUAACUUGUAAAAACAUCAUAUAUUGUAGGAGAGAGGUAUUAGAUUGGAGGAGCAAGUGUGCUGCCGUCUCCGGAGUUCUGUUGCACGAAGGGCAAACUCCAGACUUUGGCUAUCCAUGCCUGGCAGCCGAUCCGCCGCCCAAACUCAUUUUUGAGCACGUUUGAGUUCCGUUUCUCAACGGGGCAUACAUUGUUUGGACACCUUUCUGGUCAAACGCCCAAACAGACCACACUCAUCGGUCCAUCAACAUCCAACAGCCAUUGUGCGUGCAUUGUUCCUCUUCAUCCUCUCUUUCUUGUUUCUCCUCCUGCGACAGUUCCUCCUCUCCCCCCUCACGCGUGACCAAUCACUUGCCUUCGUUCCCCAUGGUCGGUCGACGCAGUUGCGCACCGCCUCACCCUACCUCGACCUUCCCCCGCCCACCGUCGUGUUGGCCGUUGCCUCCGGCCAUCCCUCUAAGCCACCCCCCCGAAUGAACAGCUCCGGCAACACCUGCACCUCCCCUCCCCGCCCUCGCGUCAAGUUUUGAACUCGCUCCCGCCGGUUAUCGCUUGCCGCUCGUCCACGGCUCAGCCUCGCUAUGGCCGGCGUUCCUCAUGCCAUCCCCACCUUCGGCCUCGCGCUUCGCAGAAAAAGUGACUUCCGUGAUAUUUUUUUUCGAGGUAUCUAAUGUUCAGCAAACCCAACCAUGAAAAACUCUGCCAUUCCUUUAAGAUUCAGGAGAACAUAAAACCACAAAACUGUUGCUGAGGUGGGAGUGCAACCCAAAAGCCAAAACACGUGCACAUUUACACACGACAAGCAACGGUGUACUAUUGCACACUCCACACACAAUCUCUUAUAGAUUUUUGUUCUGCAAUUUUGUACACCAUGUGGAACCUCACUGAGUCACUCUCACGCUCACACCUGAUGGGUUACAUUACAUAGCACAGACAUCACACACGUUAGAAAGAAACUCAACACUGAGCCGCGCUCGGCGCACGUACAUUUUACGCCGGCAGCUUUAAUUAUUCACUUUCGUGAAGCACGGGGUCACGGGCUACGAACUACUUACUGUAGUAGGGACGGUGGGUGGGGUCGAUCGGCCGGCCAUGGCGCGACCGCGACGAGCACAUCACGCGUCGCGCCUCGGGCGCACCCGGACCUGGAGCGGCGCCGCCAUCUCGCACGACAGGCGGAGCACCUCCGACAGGUCGACGCCGGGCGCCGCCGGCGCCCACUCGAACUCGUGCAGCAGGGUGGCCAUCCAGGCGGUCACGGUGGUCAUGGCCAGGGACUUGCCCGGGCAGCUCCUCCGGCCGGACCCGAACGGCACGAGCCGGCCGUCGGCGCCGAGCACGGACACGUCCGGGGCCUCGCCGCCGGCCAGGAACCGCUCGGGCCGGAACUCGAGCGGCGCGUCCCACACCUCCGGGUCGCGGCUCAUGGCCCACUGGUUCACCAUGGCGGUCGUGCCGGCGGGGACGAGGUGGCCGUCCACGUACGUGUCGGUGAUCGCCCUGUGGCGCCACGACAGCAGCGGCCCCGGUGGGUGCACGCGGAGGGCCUCCUUGAUCAGCGCCUGCAGGUACGGCAGCGCCGGCAGGGACGGCUCGGCGACCGGGCUGCUCCGGCCGACCACCUCGUCGAGCUCGCGGUGCACCUUGGCCUGCACGUCGCGGUGGAGCACGAGCCGCGCCAUGGCCCACUCCAUCAGCACCGCCAUGGCGUCCGUUCCCCUGAAGAUCAUCUCCUGGAAAAAAAACAGCCGCCAUUUUCUUGUAUAACUCCUCCUAGUGCUCUAUCCAUUAAAAUGAUUCGGAACUAAACAAAGAAGAAAAGGCUGGUGGAAUUUUGCAUGGACGCUAGCUAGCUUUUAAAAAGUGCUACGCUCAUUGGCCGCUUUGCCAAGAUUAUUAUUAUCACAACAAAAGUAGUAGGAGUGAUCUGCAUACGUAAUACUACUCCAAAUGGAACCGAUGCCAUGCUGAUAAUUUAUGUGUGUGUUAAUUUGGUGAAAAAGUUGUAUUUGUUGCUCAUGAUGAUAUGCUACGUACGUACGUACGUACCCAGAGCACUGCGGCGAUGUCGGCGUCGGCGAGCCCCUCGCUGUCCUGCAGGGAAAGCAAUAUAUCGACGAAGUCGCGCGGCACCUCUCCUCCGGCGGCGGCGGUCGUCGCCUUGGCGCGGUGCUCCCGGAUGAUGCCGUGCACGAAGCGGUUCACCCGCGGCAUGAGCUCGGCGCACCGGGCCCCGAUGCCCUGCGGGUCGACGGCGGCGAGCCCCGGGAAGUAGUCGCACCAGUUCUCCUUCCCCAGGAGCUCGUACCCUUCGUGCACCAUCUCCAGCAGCUCCUCCACCUCGCCGGACGACGACUGCGGCGCCGACACGUCGUACUCCUUGCCGAACACGAACCGCAUGAUGUAGUAGAGCGAGGCGCGGCGGAGGACCCCGCGCAGCUCCACCACGCCCGCCCCGGCGCCGCGCAGCGCCGCGACCACGUCGCCGGCGACGCGCGCGCGGUACGGCGUGAAGGCGUCGACCUGCCUCGGGCCGAACAGGUGGCCCGACGCGACGCGGCGGAGCGCGCGCCAGUAGGGCCCGUGCUCGGCGAAGCCGAUGGAGCGGUGGAACAUGAGGCCGUAGGCGGCGUGGUUGAGCGGGCGCGCGGCGAAGGCCGGGUUGUCGAGGAUCUCCUUGGCGACGUCCGGGUGGGACGCGACGACGGCGCGGACGGGGCCGAGCGACAGCGCCAUGAGCCGCUUGGCCCCGGGCCGGCGCGCCGCCUCGGCGGCCAGCGAGCGGUGCGCCAGCCCGGACAUGAGCCCCAGGCUGCCGACGACGGGGAGCCCCUUCGGGCCCGGGAUGGCACGUCGUAGCCCCGCGCCCUGGCCCCUGCCCCGCCAGUACCGGCCCCAUGCAGGCCCGCCCGGGUGCGCCCAGUAGAGCAGCGCGGCGGCCGCCCACGCGAGGCACGCGAGGACGGCGAGGUAGGCGAAGCUGGUGGCCACGGCGGCGAGUGUGGUGGUGGUGCCGUCGUGCUGGCCGCCGGAGAUGGCCGGGAGCAAGGUGAGGGGAAGCACCCACCAGCUCUGGACUGAGCUCUCCAUUUUCGGACUUUGCUGCGGUGCGUGCUGCCUGUGAGGGAAGCCGCUGCACGGGGGCGGUAUUUAUAGGAGCUAGCCAGCUCGCCGGACCGGAGCGAAGAUUCACCGUCACUGGCGCGCGCGGUCCUUGUAAGCAAAGAUGAUCCAAUCAUUGGCACAUAAAAUACUAGAGAAUUGCACUAGUGGGCUGGCAUUGGCCCCUCUGGUUUUCCCGCCGGCCAGCCUUUGGUUGGUAACUCAGUUUGGAGGCUAGGCAUGCACCCCCCUAGGAACUCACUCGCAUAUAUGAUCUACUACUCCUACUUGCUACUAGUAUAACUUUGUGUAGUUAAUUCAUUCUUUGCUAGCAUAUGAAGGAAGGAACUUCGUGGAACUAGCUUAGCCUUGUGCAAAUGCACUAUUAGUAUAACACUACUUACUACUCACUCCGUUCCUAAAUGUAAGUCUUUUUAGAGUGUAGAUUCACUCAUUUUGCUCCGUAUGUAGUGCAUAUUGGAAUCUCUAAAAAGACUUAUAUUUAGGAACGGAGGGAGUAUUUGUUAGUAGUAUAAGGCAGCUAGCAUCUCUGCUACGUACGUAUAGAUAGGUCUAGAGAGGUCGAUCGAUCGGUGCGUGUUAACAUGUUGAUGACACAUAUCAAUAUACCUUUUCUUCUCUUGAGAUGAUAUCAUGUGUACGUGGGUUUUGUGUGUGGAUUUGUGCAAUCAUUGGUGCGUGGCAUGGCAUGAGGUCUCCUGUGUGGAUCACGUAGGGGAGCCUGGCUAGGUUGGAGUUGGACUAAUGAUAUGCACCACCACAGUCCACAGUUGGUGUGUACUCAUAGUAAACAACAGGAGUUAGGCUCCAUCCAUGUGUCACACACCCUUGGUCUAUGAUUACCAAUAGCCCAUCGCAGUAUCAUAACCUGUCUCCACGAUGGAUCGAGGUGGUCAGUCAGCAGCGUGCGUACCUGCUGGGCUGGCUGGGGUAGUUACGCUGAAAGUGGCAGAAACCAUUUUCAACAUGGGCCGGAGGAUGGCGCCGACUUGUGUUCCAGAGCAGGCAGUGAUUCGAUUGGAGAAUCAAGGCGCUACGGUCGGUCUAUUAAGCUGUAUCUUUUUUUUUUAAACAAAUGGACUUUAUUCAACGGAAAUAACAGAUACAUUGUUUGUGAGGAAAGGUACAAUCUCAAACAUAGGCUCCUCAAACCAAUCAAUGGUAGAAGAAAAUUUAGCCAACCUAGCAAGCUCGUGCGCAACCUUAUUGGCUUCCCUAUUACAAUGUUCAAACCUAGAGGUAGGAAAAUCACACGCCAAAAAAUAGCAAUCAUCAAAGAUUGCCGCCGCCGCUCCUGCUGACCGUCCGCCGUUAUUCAUCGUUUCAAUAACCUCCAAAUUAUCAGAAUUAAUAACUAGGCGAUUGCAACCCGCACGUUGCGCUAGUGAAAGACCGAAUCUGAGAGCCCAAGCUUCCGCUGUUAGAGCAUCGAUGCAAUGAUCAAUUUUCCAAGUACCCCCUGCAAUAAACUUCCCUUUGUCGUUCCUCAGGACAGCCCCCGCCGUACCUUUAAGAAGAUCAUGAUCAAAAGAAGCGUCAACAUUAAGUUUCACAAAACCCACCGGGGGACGAAUCCAACCCCCUCUUUUCAUAGAAGCCCUUGGACUGGAAGCAACAACAUAAUUAGUCGUAAGAGCUUGUAUCCCCAUUGAAAUCUGUUUUGCAUCUUGAAUUCUCUCCUUGUGCACUAAUUUACGUCUUUCCCACCAUAAAUACCAAGACGUAAUGGCAAUCAUCUCCCGAGUAUUCUGGAACCCCAUAAUAGAUAAAUCUUGGUCAGGCAUGAGCAACAAAAACUCGAGGACCGCCUCUCCAGCACGAUCAACUUCACAAGCUUGAGCAAUGAUCUCGUCUAAUCCAAGCCUUCUCCAGACCUCUUUUGCCUUCUGGCACUGAAACAACAUAUGCUUUGUGUCUUCUAAACCAGAAGCACAACAAGGGCAUAAAGGUGAAACUUUCAUGUGUCUAUUAGCAAGCGUAACACGACAUGGAAGAGUACCAUGCAGCGUCCGCCAAAUAAAAAAAGUUCACCUUCGCUGGACAAGAUAACUUCCAAAUCUUACACCAAAUUGGAUUAAAGUUUGUUCGACCCAUUCCAUUAGUACGACGAAGUUUCCUUCCAUGUUGAUAAUCCCACUCAAAAAAAUAUGCAGAUCGAACAGAAAAAAUCCCACUCUUUGUAUGACUCCAGGCAACAAAAUCUAACAUAUCAAACUGAGGCAGAGGGAUAGCAAGGACCCGCUGUAAAUCAACAGGCCACAAGGUCUGUCUGAUGAGAUCCUCAUCCCACCUAUUCGAAGAGGGGUCAAUGAGAUCAGACACUUUUGAUAACAAAUGUUGUCCCUUUGGAGUGAUGACUUUCCUGUUAGCAUAGUUAGGGAUCCAAGCAUCUUCCCAAAUGUCAAUUUUCUGACCAUUUCCAAGACGCCAAAUAUAGCCAUGUUUUAAGGUAUUAACCCCCGCCAUAAUACUUUGCCAUGUGAAGGAUGAUCCCUUUUUUAACUUUGCGUUCAAUAAAUCUCCAUCAGGAAAAUACUUAGCUCGCAAAAUGGUGGCACACAAGGAAUCUGGGUUCUCAAGGAGACGCCAAGCUUGUUUAGCCAACAUCGCCAAAUUAAAACAAUGAAUGUCACAAAAACCCAUUCCACCUUGGCUUUUCGGGACACACAUUUUCCACCACGCCAUCCAAUGCAUCCUUCUCUGGUUGUCGUCAUCACCCCACCAAAAAUGCGACAUCUCGUCAGUUAUUCCUUUACAAUCUUUUUAGGAAUUUUAAAGACCGACAUAGCAUAAGUUGGGAUAGCUUGAACAACAGACUUGAGAAGAACUUCCUUGCCUCCAGUGGAUAAGAGUUUUUCUUUCCAUCCGCUAAUUCUCAUAACAAUGCGAUCAAUCAGAUAUUGGAAACAAUCAGUCUUAUCUAACCCCACAUGCGCAGGCAGGCCCAGAUACUUAUCAUUGAGAGCUUCGAUCAUGAUAUUUAAAAUUGAGCAAAUUUGUUCUCUAAUGUCCCCACUCGUAUUUGGGCUAAAAAAUAUGCUAGAUUUUUCAACGCUCACCAUUUGUCCAGACGCAGCACAAUAUAAGUCCAAAAUUGAUUUAAGUGUCUCCGCAUUUUGUUGAUUAGCUUUCAUGAGGAUUAAUGAGUCAUCCGCAAAAAGGAGAUUUGUGAUAGUAGGGGCCUCUCUACAAACCUUGACUCCUGAAAUAUCAAUCUCCUCCGCAUGCGCCAAGAGAGCAGUAAGGCCCUCCGUGCAUAAUAAGAAAAGGUAGGGAGAUAAUGGAUCACCUUGUCUUAAGCCCCUAGUAGGCUUGAAACUUUCAGUUUCUUCAUCAUUAAUCCGUACCCUAUACUCAACAGUAGAGACACAUUUCAUAAUAAGAUUUACCCAUCUCUCCUGGAAACCGAGUUUCAGCAUAAUUCCCUUCAAAAAAGGCCAUUCGACUCGAUCGUAAGCUUUGUGCAUAUCAAGCUUGAUAGCGCAUAAACCCUCUUUUCCCACCCUCUUAUUUUUAAUAGUAUGAAAGCUCUCAUAAGCCACUAAAACAUUGUCUGUAAUCAAUCUACCAGGCACAAAAGCACUUUGGGUUGGGCUGAUAAUAUCAGGUAGUAAAACCUUCAAACGCGCCGACAACAUUUUGGAGAUAAUUUUGUAUACCACAUUGCAAAGACUGAUAGGUCUAAACUGGGUUACCUUCUCGGGUGAGUUGACCUUGGGAAUCAACACAAUCGCAGUAUCAUUCCAACCCGGUGGAAUUGUACAAGUAUUCACUGCUUUCAAGACCUCAUCCACCAAAUCAUCCCCUAGCAUGGGCCAAAAUCUUUUAUAAAAAAUAGCAUGAAGACCAUCUGGCCCCGGAGCCUUUAAAUCGCCAAUAUCAAAAAGAGCCUUACGAACAUCAUCAGCAGUAUAAGGGGCGAGCAGAGCACUAUUCAUCUCAGUAGUCACUCUACUCCGGACAAGAGACAAAACUUCCUGAUUUGGGUAUAAAACCUCCGAUGUAAAAAGAUUGGAGAAAUAACCCAUAAUAUGUUCCUUCAGAUCAUUUCCUUGUUUCCAAACCCCAGUAUCAUCCAGAAGUCUUCUAAUAUUGUUUCUUUUUUUUCCUAGCCAUUGCAGCGUUAUGAAAAAAAGAAGUAUUACGGUCCCCAUGUAGCAACCAGUUCGCUCGACCUCUCUGUAACCAAAAAAUUUCCUCUUGGUCCAAAAGAUUUUCAAUGAGUACUAGAAUUUCCUUUUGCCUUGAGCGGGACUCACCACUAAUAGGACCACGUUUCAGCCUCUCUAGUUCUUUUUUUAACUUAUUUAUUCUUCUCUGUGGUCCUUUCAAAGUAAUUCGGUCCCAAGAAUGUAAAUCAUCAUGCACCGCUCUAGUCCGUGCUGCGAGAGAGGGACCAAUACCCGCCAACUUUGCUUUUUCCCAAGCAGUCUUCACAAUCUCCUCAACAGUAUCUUCUUUCAGCCAUUUUGCUUCAAAUUGUCUCACACGACCAUUCCGACAAUUAAACAAGUUACUAUCAAAAUAAUCUGUGUCAAGAAUUAACGGACGAUGGUCUGAGUGUACAUGCUCCCCAUUAAUAAUCGCCGCACGCGGAAAUUUGUUUGCCCAUUCUAUAUUACAUACAGCUCGAUCAAGCCUUUCACGGAUGUCCCCCCUUCUCGAAGUGAAUGGAUCACCAACAGAGCCCAUAUCCUCCAGGUUACAAUCACUCAAACACUUACGGAAUUCCUGCAUCAUUUCAUUUGGUCUAGCAUUGCCACCUUCUUUUUCGCUAGAGUAGAUAAUUUCAUUAAAAUCUCCAAUGACUACCCAAGGAUAAUCAGCAAGGGAAUGCAGUUGGCGAAGAUCUGCCCAAGAUAAAUAUUUUUCAUUCCAUGCCGGAUAACCAUAGAAACCCGUAAAGCGCCAAUUUACAGAAUUAUCAUUCAUAAAUACAACAUCAAUAAAAUGGGAAGACAAAUAGUUCAACUCGACUUUAUUCUCUUUUUGAUAAAAAAGGACAAGACCACCAGACUUGCCAUCACUCUCAUCUAAAAACAUGGAACUAAAACCUAAGAUACAACGUAGCUCGUCAGCUUUACUUUUAUUCAAAUGCGACUCGGAAAGAAAAAUCAACUCCGCACAAUUACGACCUUGGAGCUCCCGGAGCUCUCGAACUGCCGUGGAAGACAACAUUCCACGGCAGUUCCAACUAAUUGCUCUCAUUUCUCCUGGCGGUCCUCCGGAGCGGAGGCCGCCAAAUCAGUGCCCACAACAUCGUCCUCUCCAAUUGACUCCUUCCUUUGCUGAGUAUAAACCUCCUCCUCCUCUUUUUCCUUCACUACAUGCGUAAUAAUCCCAUCCACAUCCCUCCUAGUUUCAACUCUACCCAUACAAACUCUCUUUGAGGAAACACUCGUCUCACCAUACAACAGACGUUCAUAGCUAUCCAUCUCUCUCUCAAAAGAAAAAUUUAAAUCACUACCCGUUUGUGGGGCAUCAAAAGGGUUACUCCUCUUUUUCCCUAUGCUUUGAGUUCUAUCACUCUCUGACUUCUCCUUUCCUCCCUUCUUUCUAUCCUUUCUCUCUUUCUUCUUUUUCUGACCCUGCAUGGUAAUUUUAUCAGCAGCAAAAGUAAAUACUCCCGUAUCAUUGCCCGUGUUCUGGUCAGCCAGCCUUGCCGCAACUGCCCCUGAGAGUGCCUCCAGUACGCCUGGCUUGAACAACAACAUGUCCUGCAGAUUUUUUGCGCCAGCCGCAUCAUCAGAAUUAGAAGCAGCAACCGGCAGGAUGAGCCCCUGGUUCCCUCGGAUUGCCGCAUCGAACAUGCUGCCGUUAGCAUGCACCAGAGCCGGCGAUGGAGUAGACGUCCCCACUCGGUGCUCGAGCACAUGGCCCUCCUGGCCGUGCUUAGCACCAAUGGAAGAGCCGCCCCCCGCCUCCUUUCCCUGGCCCGCCUGGCCAGAGAGAGCAGAGGGCCUCGGAAGAGUUUGUUGGUGCUCCUGACCAGAACCAGCGCCUGGGUGGAGCGGUGUUGGAGCCCCAUACACCCGGCCCUCCUGGCCGAGCGUGACGCCCUCCUGGGUUGGCCCACCAAACGCCGCAGCGGCAAGCGUCGUUGUCGUCGUAGUGAUCAUAUCCGUGACCGUGAGGUUAGCCACGGCUUUGGUCACCUUGACCACACUCUUUUCCGCAGCUCUAGAGUAGUUGUUGCUGUUGGAGCCGGUGAACAAAAGUGUUCUUUUACUUGCCCCUGUUCCCUUCCAAUAUGCCUCUACACUAAGAUUCUUUGGAAAAGAAACAACCCUUUUAUCCUUAGGUAUACUACAAUAGCGCUCUGAGGUAUGUCCUACAAUCCCACAGCACUCACAGUACAAAGGAAGUUUCUCAUAUCUAACAUCAUACUUAACACUCUCAGAACUACCCAAAGGAGUGAAUUCUACUCUUGUCUUAAGAGGUUCAUGCAGAGGGAUUUCCACCCUUAUACGAAGAUAUUUCUCUACAAUUAAGUGAUCUCUAUGGGAAACAGCAAUCACAUCCCCAAUUUGUUCUCCUAAAGUCCAGCCCAUGCGCUCAGUUUUGAGUUCAAAAUCUAGAUCACGAACCUGCACCCAUACUGGCAUUACGCCAAGGUCAACCUCUGCUGGGUUUCCCUUGCCGUCGAACUCGGCGAAGAUGACUCCAUCACGCUUAUGGUGCCAUGGCUGGGCCUUCAAAAUGAACCGCCGGUCCUCCUCGGCGGAAAAGUUCAGGACGAACCUCCCGUCCUCGCUGGCCACAUCUUGAACAGUGACCGUUCCGUGCAGCCUCCAUGCUGAACAAGCCCGAAGCUCAUCGACUAUGACCUGCGGGUUCACUUGGAAGGGCGAAAGAAGCCGCCCCACCACCCGUGAUCCACCGAUAGCCUCCCGCGCGGCCUCCAUGUCGAUAAUCAGAGCCGAGCCAUCGCCACGGGGGCGCCUCGGCAUCGACUUCCCCUUACUCUCAGGGGUCAUGGAAGGGGCAGUGGCCACCUUCAUCCCCAGCUGGUGGAGAGAGGAUUCAGCAGCCGUGGCAUCCGUCAUCACCCUCGAUCCCUCUCCACUCGCAAGUGUUUUCCCCAAAACAUUGCUCACACUCCCUCCAUGACCCGCCAUAGCACACUCCCCUCGAUCACGGCUGAUGGUAGAAAGAACAGAAAGCAGAAGAAAAUUCACUGGCAAGAACAAAGGCGAGGGAUGACCUCUCUCUGUACCACAAAUAUAGCAUGCCAGGAUCCCCUUCCACCCCGUAUCAAAUCCUGUUAGCGUCGGUAGGGACCCAGAGAGCUGCUGCCCUAGGGGGUAGGUGUAGCGGCAGUUAAAAGUACUGCCAAGAUGUGUCCCUGUCCCAACACACUUGAGCAUGCAUGCACGAGGUUCACCGGAAAACACGAAGCAACCCGGAGCGUAUCCCGGGCCAGCGUGAGUGAAGAGAGGCCGACACCGAUCGGCCGCCGACAGGACAAUUUUACCACCUCAACAUCAUCUGACAAACAGACAAAGAAUUGACCCGGGGCUGCUACGUCGCCUCGGCUGACUUCUGGUUGCUAAGAGCGGGCCGACCCAAACGAACGGCGUUUUCGUCCGUUUUUUGUCCGUUUGGGUCAGCCGCCCGUCUGGCGUCUGCCCUGUUUUUGAUAUGGGUCAGCAGCGCGUCCAACGCGCCGACCAAUAUGUGCCGGCGUGGUCGCCCAAUUUUAUAUUGAUUUGCAUUCAACAUAUUAUCAAAUGAAAAUGUUUUACAAGCCAAAUAGUCUGGCUGCCUAAAUAAAUAAUACAAAUAAAAAUGUUUCACAUAGUUUUACAAACGAAUAAAAGAAGAUGCAUCUAUUGGUUGCCAAUAUGAGCCCACAUAUGCUCAACCAAAUCAUUUUGUAGUUGCACGUGAGUUUCCCAAUCGCGCAUGUCUUCAUGAAAUUGAGUGAACUGCUCAAAUGUUGCCGCUACUCCAUGCUCAGGCACAACAUUCUCACCCUGAAAUUCAAAGCCUUGAUCGUACAGACUUUCCGGGCGCUCGUCUUCUAUGAUCAUAUUGUGCAUGAUCACACAAGCAGUCAUAACCUCCCACAGUUUCUGCAUGCUCCAAGUAUUAGUAGGAUACCGAACGAUGCCCCAUCGAGAUUGAAAAACACCAAAGGCACGCUUGACAUCCUUCCUAGCACUCUCUUGCUCUUGGGCAAAUCUUUUCCUUUUCUCUCCGACAUGGUUGGGUAUUGUCUUGACAAUAGUGGUCCACUGAGGAUAGAUACCAUCACCCAGAUAGUACCCUUUGUCGUAGUUGUGGCCGUUGACAGUAAAGUUCACCGGUGGGCUGUUGCCUUCGGCAAGCCUAGCAAACACCGGCGAGCGCUGAAGCACGUUGAUAUCAUUGUGUGAUCCAGCCAUGCCAAAGAAAGAGUGCCAGAUCCAGAGAUCUUGAGAUGCCACGGCCUCUAGUAUGACAGUGCAAGCCCUGACAUGUCCCUUAUACUGCCCUUGCCAAGCAGAAGGGCCGUUCUUCCACUCCCAGUGCAUGAAGUCUAUGCUGCCAAGCAUCCCCGGGAAGCCCCUGCUGGCAUUCAUCACCAACAAAUGGGUUGUAUCUUCAGCUGUCGGCUCUCUCAAGUACUCAGGGCCAAACACAGCAAUAACAGCCUUGCAGAACUUAUACAGUGACUCUAGGAAUGUAGACUCGCUCAUACGGACGUACUCGUCAAUGAAAUCACCGGGCACUCCGUAUGCAAGAAUUCAGAUGGCGGCGGUGCAUUUCUGAUAAGAGGAGAAACCGAUCUUGCCGACGGCAUCCUCUUUGCACUUGAAGUAGUCAUCAUAGCCGACCACUCCCUCUCUAAUACGGUUGAAAACAUGCCUACUUAUACGGAAACGGCGGCGGAAUUUGUGAUGUUUGAACAGCGGGUUUGUUGUAUCAAAGUAGUCCUUCCAGAGAAGGAAAUGCCCGCUCUCUCGGUUGCGAUUCAACGCCGGAAGGUGGCCCGGAAUGGAGCCAUGGAACAACGGCCGCUGGCUGUUGAGGUGGUGAUGGACCAACACGGCAGCCAAUAUCUCCUCCUCGUCGUCGGACGACGAAUCGUCGGAGUCGCAAAGGAAAAUGUGAAAAAAGAACUCGUCAGCGGAGUCCAUUUCAUACCUUGACAAACUGUCAAACAGCUUGCGGGCGUUGAAGAAGGAGACGGCCGGCAAGGGGAGUCCCGGCGCCCACAGACCAGCUAGCUGCCCUGCCGGCGUCCGAUGAGUGUGACGGCGUCCGACGAGCGUGCCGGUCGGAUGUGGCAGGGGCGGCGAGGCGGCUUCUUGGUCGCGGGCGGCUGUGCGGUGCGGUGGGGGGAAGCGGCGGUGGGAAGCAGUUUGCUCCCCGGCGGCAAAACGGCGGCGAGGGCGAUGGGGGGAGGGGCGGCGUUGCUGGGCGGAUGUGGAUGCGGCGGCAGCUGGAAGAGUCGCCGGCAAAAAUGGGCGGCAGCGUCGGCGACGGAGGAGGCGGGCGAGGGUGGCCUGUUGGCCGGGGGGUGCGAGGGGAGGCCAAUGUGCCACAGACCAGCGGGCCCGGGGAGAGGAGUAGGCGAGCGCCCGCGCGUCCGUCACGUGUCCGCGCCGACGCAAAUCCGGCUAAAAAAUGGGACGGGAAUGGGUCGCCCGCGAACGAAAAACGGACGUGCGUCCGUCUGGGUCGGCGCGUUGGGCUGUCUUUUGUGUCCGCGCCAAUCCAAAUGGACGGCCGCAGACGAAAUGGGUCGCCCCAUUAGAGUUGCUCUAAGGCUGAUCAUAGAUCAUAGUGAAGACUAAUUUAGACUAGUAACAUGCAUGUUUUACUAAUUCAUAGGUCAUAGUGGCAUCCACGAGUCACACCCCUUCAUAGUGGAGAGUAACUUACCAUGCAUGUUUUACUAACAUGCAUGGUCAUGUGUGUGUUGUUACCACUUAUAUUACUCUCAGUGAUAAUCUAACACGAUCUAUACCGGUGUCACUGGCCGCGCUGCCGCGCCUGCUCGGUGACCGUAUGGGGACAAGACGACAGACCCGGCCGGUCGACCAAGGUGACAAUGCAAGCUGCCUCGAUCGGCUCGGCCAUCGGCAUGGCAUCCAUCUGUGAUCUGUGUGAGGAAGAAGCCAAUGCCAACGCCAACGGGCGCGGGUUUUCUUUUCUCAUGUACCCAUCCCACAUGCAUACGUGCAUAACGAGCAGGCCGUGCAUCGCACAUGCAUGGAUCAUGGGUUCACGAGGGAAAUGCAUGAUAGUACGCAAUCCAACGUCUGAAAACACAUUCAUGUCCAAGGAACAAGACUGACUGUCGUUGUAUGACUCAUUCUUCUAUCCACACAUACAGUGGCGGAGCUACAAGCAGAAUUAUGGGCGGGCCAGAUUGAACCUGGGCUACAGCUGGGCUGGUGCUACGGACCUGUGUUGCAGUACGUGGGCUGGGCCUAUCUACAGAAUUGUAUUUUUACAGAAAACAUGGGCGGGCCACGGCCUGGUUUGGCCCCAGGCCCGGUCCUGAGAUUUCGGGGGCCCGGGGCAAGAUAACAAAAUGGGGCCCUAAACCCACAUACUUUUUUUUCUAUUUCAAAUGCAAGUGAAUACUCAUGACACUAGAACUUAUGUUGCCUUGUCAUGUCGACUAUUUAGAAAAACUGGGGUCAUAAUCAUUCACAUAAAAUUUGGUCGCUCUUGUUAAUCAAUAGUUAUAUAUUUUUCCAUUAGGUGAAUUAACCUUCGGUGCCAACUAAUAUUUUUAUCAUCCUAUAACUUUUCGCUAGGUUGUUAUUCAACAGUAACUAACUAAAGCUAAUUCCUCAAAAACCCUAGCAGAAGUACUUACUUUAUUUGCGGGGAAUUAGUAGAUGUACUUUUCUGGCACUCAAUAAACUCAUCUGCAUGUUCUCUUUUUUCUUCUCAUUGUUAGAUGAUACUUUCCAGAUAAAAUCUUGCUAAAUUAAUAGAAUUCGUGCUACUAGUUAGCACACAAACAUACAAUACAAGAAAUUAAGAACACUGCCAAUUGAAUACUAUAUAAAUAGUAAGAAAGAGGCAUGGAGCGAUGUACCUGGAUGGCUAGAAAUUAAAAAUUGCAAGCUUUUGCUUCUGCUUGCUAGUCACGAACAGAAGCCCCAGUUUCCAUUUUCUAUUCCCAAACAAUACAAGAAAUUAGAGUGUGAGAGAGAUAUGUACGAGGAUUAACUUCACGAACCGAGCAAUCUGACAUGACUAAAAAGAGGAGAUUUGCGUUGAAGAGGAGGUUAAUGGAAUCUUCGAAAAUCACAAGUAGAUGACGCAGGCGACCUUGGCAAUAGCAUGGCUGUUUCGUUCCAGAGAUGAAGUAGAAAGACGAGAAGACCACGCGCGUGCGGUAAGGCCGGAAUUAAUCGAUCUGUUAUAGUUCUUUCCCUUUUUGAGAAUCAGUCAAUCUGUUACAUGGAAAAGACUUAUUUCCUAAACAUCACGCAUGCAAAAAAUCAGUCGAUAUGUAACAUACGAAAUAAUCCAUUACCUUUUAAGAGUCAGUCAAUCUGUUAACAUGGGAAAGAAUUCUUUCCUAAAAAUCACAAGUGUUUCCUAAAUAUCCCAACGUAAGGGAACAAAGUGAUUAGUCAUCGGGGGCCCUUCCUAGUCGGGGGCCCGGGGCGGCCGCCCCCUCUGCCCCCCCUCAAGGCCGGCCCUGUUUGGCCCUAACAUAUAUAGCUCCACCAGUGCACACAUAUAUGAAAGGCCAUCUCCAACGCAAACAACUCUAACCCUCAAAUCGGACACCGUAUUCGUUCACAGACAAUGUUGCAGGAGUUCCUCAUUCAAAGCUAGCCGUAAACAGUGGCGGAGACAGGGGACCAGCAGGGCCCUGGCUCCCCCCUAACAUCAGUGAUUUACUACUAAUUUGCUUAUGAACAACACAUGUUUAAUGAUUGUUUUCUUCCGAAAGCUCAUUUUUCAGUGUGGCCCUCCCCAGCCUGUUUAGCAUCAUUUGGCCCCCUUAAUCAAAAUUUUCCGGCUCCGCCACUGGUCGUAAAUGUCCAGUUACAAUUCGAGCGAAAUUUCACGACAGUGAAAAAAUUUGAUGCACUAGUAUACGCUUUGUGGAACUACCUUAACCCUGUAUAAGUACACUAGCAUACUCUUGUUAGUAGUAUAGAACUAUAGAUAGGCCUAGAGAGGUCGACCGGUACGUAGGAGUUAACACGUCGAUAGCUACUACGAAUAUACCAUGCUUUUAGUACGUUGUGUAGUUGGAUUUGUGCAGUUAUUGAUGCGUGGCAUGAGGUCUGUGGAUGUGGAUCACGGCCGGGAGUCUAGCUAGGUUGGACUAAUAAUGUGCACCACCCUAGUUGAUUAGUCGGUGUGUAAGACUGCUCACAAUGGGAAGUAAUAUAGAGUAGUAACUUGGCGAUGUUACUAGUCUAUGUUACUACCUUCAUAGUGAGUAGUAACAUAUGAGUGAUAUCAUGAAAGAGUUUAUUUAUUAGGCUAUAGACUCAUUAUGCCUUGAAAUGUGUGAUGUUACAGUAACUAGCUAAGUUACCACAAACCCCUCUCUCCUCAUUAAUUAGCUGCCACAUAAGCAAUCUUGUAUUGAAAUGUGUGAUGUUACUAGUUAAGUUACUCCCAUUAUGACUAGUCUAAAAAACAAGAGUUAGGCUCCAUCCACGUGUCACACACCCUUCAUUUAUUGGUUGAGCAGUUACGCUGAAAGUAAGCACAGACCAUUUUUCAUCCAUUUUCAAGAUCGACCAGAAGAUCCCGCCGACUUGUGUGUUCCAGAUCAGUGAUUGGAGAAGUUACUAAUUAGGCUAGACACCCGAAAAAAAAAAAC